rnacentral:rRNA from 1 species
UGGGUAACCUGCCUCAAAGAGGGGAAUAGCCUCCCGAAAGGGAGAUUAAUACCGCAUAAUAUGUUUAAGUCGCAUGACUUUAACAUCAAAGGAUUUUCUUUUAAGAAAUUCCACUUUGAGAUGGACCCGCGGCGCAUUAGCUAGUUGGUGAGGUAACGGCUCACCAAGGCAACGAUGCGUAGCCGACCUGAGAGGGUNAUCCGGGCCACAUUGGAAACCUGAACGACCGACCGGGUCCCGGACCUCCGUAACGGGGAGCGA